UCCUACGGGAGGCAGCAGUAGGGAAUCUUCCACAAUGGACGAAAGUCUGAUGGAGCAACGCCGCGUGAGUGAAGAAGGGUUUCGGCUCGUAAAACUCUGUUGUUAAAGAAGAACAUAUCUGAGAGUAACUGUUCAUGCAUUGACGGUAUUUAACCAGAAAGCCACGGCUAACUACGUGCCAGCAGCCGCGGUAAU
rnacentral:rRNA from 1 species